GACGAACGCUGGCGGCGUGCUUAACACAUGCCAGUCGAACGGAAAGGCCCUGCUUUUGUGGGGUGCUCGAGUGGCGAACGGGUGAGUAACACGUGAGUAACCUGCCCUUGACUUGGGAUAACUUCAGGAAACUGGGGCUAAUACCGGAUAUGAGCUCCUGCUGCAUGGUGGGGGUUGGAAAGGUUCGGCGGGUGGGGAUGGGCUCGCGGCUGAUCAGCUUGGUGGUGGGGUCGUGGAUUACCAAGGCUUUGACGGGUAGCCGGCCUGAGAGGGUGACCGGCCACAGUGGGACUGAGAUACGGCCCAGACUCCUACGGGAGGCAGCAGUGGGGAAUAUUGCACAAUGGGCGGAAGCCUGAUGCAGCAACGCCGCGUGCGGGAUGACGGCCUUCGGGUUGUAAACCGCUUUCGCCUGUGACGAAGCGUGAGUGACGGUACUGGGUAAAGAAGCACCGGCUAACUACGUG
rnacentral:rRNA from 1 species